GCAAAUCAUUGGCCCAACAUAAAUAACAGAUUCCGCCAACAACAUGAGGAUAAUCAGUAUUGCAGAACAUGUUUUAUGAAUUGCUUUCUUCAACCAAAGUAGAGUGCAGGCUCCAAAAGAUGGCGGAGGCGUUACUAUGGGGCGAUGUUUUUCUACCGGAGAAAACAACUUCUGGAUUGGAGAAAGAGCCCGCUUCAUAAAAGAAGCGAAUGUAUCAUCUCCUAUCAGGUUGAACAGCCUGUUGUAAGUUCAAGUUAGAGCGAUGAUUAGCCAUUUUUUUUAUCACAUGGUAAGAUUAAGCAUAUAUAUAAUAUGCAUUGAAUAACUUUAUUUUUGUCGUAUUGCUGUUUUGUACAUCUCAAUUUGUAUACGUGCUGAUUAUAAAUAAAGCUGUAUGAAGUAACAUUCAAGCGGACAAUAUGUUGCACUGUUUGCACUUUGCAGGCCAUGGAUGAAAAUCAGUACUAACUAACAUUUUAAUUACGGAACAUGAAG
rnacentral:lncRNA from 1 species